GGGGAUGUAGAUCAGUGGUAGAACGUUUGCAUAGCAUGCUGGGGGUCCUGGAUUCAAUCCAGCACCACCA
rnacentral:tRNA from 1 species